UACAGAGGGGGCAAGCGCUGUUCGGAAUUACUGGGCGUAAAGGGCGCGUAGGCGGCCUGCUAAGUCGAACGUGAAAUCCCUGGGCUCAACCCAGGAACUGCGUCCGAUACUGGUUGGCUUGAAUCCGGGAGAGGGAUGUGGAAUUCCAGGUGUAGCGGUGAGAUGCGUAGAUAUCUGGAGGAACGACCGGUGGCGAAGGCGGCCAACUGGACCAUUCUGACGCUGAGGCGCGAAAGCGUGGGGAGCAAACAGG
rnacentral:rRNA from 1 species